rnacentral:rRNA from 1 species
CCUACGGGGGGCAGCAGUGGGGAAUAUUGCACAAUGGGCGCAAGCCUGAUGCAGCCAUGCCGCGUGUGUGAAGAAGGCCUUCGGGUUGUAAAGCACUUUCAGCGGGGAGGAAGGCGUUAAGGUUAAUAACCUCAUCGAUUGACGUUACCCGCAGAAGAAGCACCGGCUAACUCCGUGCCAGCAGCCGCGGUAAUACGGAGGGUGCAAGCGUUAAUCGGAAUUACUGGGCGUAAAGCGCACGCAGGCGGUCUGUCAAGUCGGAUGUGAAAUCCCCGGGCUCAACCUGGGAACUGCAUUCGAAACUGGCAGGCUAGAGUCUUGUAGAGGGGGGUAGAAUUCCAGGUGUAGCGGUGAAAUGCGUAGAGAUCUGGAGGAAUACCGGUGGCGAGGGCGGCCCCCUGGACAAAGACUGACGCUCAGGUGCGAAAGCGUGGGGAGCAAACAGGAUUAGAUACCCGGGUAGUC